GACCAGACUCCUACGGGAGGCAGCAGUGGGGAAUAUUGCACAAUGGGGGAAACCCUGAUGCAGCGACGCCGCGUGAGUGAAGAAGUAUUUCGGUAUGUAAAGCUCUAUCAGCAGGGAAGAAAAUGACGGUACCUGACUAAGAAGCCCCGGCUAACUACGUGCCAGCAGCCGCGGUAAUACGUAGGGGGCAAGCGUUAUCCGGAUUUACUGGGUGUAAAGGGAGCGUAGACGGCAUGGCAAGUCAGAUGUGAAAGCCCGGGGCUCAACCCCGGGACUGCAUUUGAAACUGUCAGGCUGGAGUGCAGGAGAGGUAAGUGGAAUUCCUAGUGUAGCGGUGAAAUGCGUAGAUAUUAGGAGGAACACCAGUGGCGAAGGCGGCUUACUGGACUGUAACUGACGUUGAGGCUCGAAAGCGUGGGGAGCAAACAGGAUUAGAUACCCCUGUAUC
rnacentral:rRNA from 1 species